UACGUAGGGUGCGAGCGUUGUCCGGAAUUAUUGGGCGUAAAGGGCUCGUAGGCGGUUUGUCGCGUCGGGCGUGAAAUCCACUGGCUUAACUGGUGGCUUGCUUUCGAUACGGGCAGACUGGAGGUAUGCAGGGGAGAACGGAAUUCCUGGUGUAGCGGUGAAAUGCGUAGAUAUCUGGAAGAACACCAGUGGCGAAGGCGGUCAACUGGCCCGUAACUGACGCUCAGGCACGAAAGCGUGGGUAGCGAACAGG
rnacentral:rRNA from 1 species